rnacentral:rRNA from 1 species
GAUGAACGCUGGCGGCGUGCCUAAUACAUGCAAGUCGAGCGAACAGACGAGGAGCUUGCUCCUUCGACGUUAGCGGCGGACGGGUGAGUAACACGUAGGUAACCUACCUAUAAGACUGGGAUAACUUCGGGAAACCGGAGCUAAUACCGGAUAAUAUUUCGUACCGCAUGGUUCGAUAGUUAAAGAUGGCUUUGCUAUCACUUAUAGAUGGACCUGCGCCGUAUUAGCUAGUUGGUAAGGUAACGGCUUACCAAGGCAACGAUACGUAGCCGACCUGAGAGGGUGAUCGGCCACACUGGAACUGAGACACGGUCCAGACUCCUACGGGAGGCAGCAGUAGGGAAUCUUCCGCAAUGGGCGAAAGCCUGACGGAGCAACGCCGCGUGAGUGAUGAAGGUCUUCGGAUCGUAAAACUCUGUUAUUAGGGAAGAACAAAAGUGUAAGUAACUGUGCACGUCUUGACGGUACCUAAUCAGAAAGCCACGGCUAACUACGUG